UGCGAGUCAUUGUAGCAAUACAAGGCAGACGGCUCAGUAACGCGUAGUCAACCUAACCUAUGGACGGGAAUAACCUCGGGUAACUGAGAAUAAUGCCCCAUAGAACACUAUACCUGGAAUGCUUUGUGUUCCAAAUGAUUUAUCGCCGUAGGAUGGGACUGCGGCCUAUCAGUUUGUUGGUGAGGUAAUGGCCCACCGAGACUAUUACAGGUACGGGCUCUGAGAGGAGUAGCCCGGAGAUGGGUACUGAGACACGGACCCAGGCCCUAUGGGGCGCAGCAGGCGAGAAAACUUUGCAAUGUGCGAAAGCACGACAAGGUUAAUCCGAGUGGUUUCUGCUAAAGGAACCUUUUGUCGGUCCUAGAAACACCGAUGAAUAAGGGGUGGGCAAGUUCUGGUGUCAGCCGCCGCGGUAAAACCUGCACCUCAAGUGGUGAGGAUGAUUAUACGGCCUAAAGCAUCCGUAGCCGGCUCUGUAAGUUUUCGGUUAAAUCUGUACGCUCAACGUACAGGCUGCCGGGAAUACUGCAGAGCUAGGGAGUGGGAGAGGUAGACGGUACUCGGUAGGAAGGGGUAAAAUCCUUUGAUCUAUUGAUGACCACCUGUGGCGAAGGCGGUCUACCAGAACACGUCCGACGGUGAGGGAUGAAAGCUGGGGGAGCAAACCGGAUUAGAUACCCGGGUAGUCCCAGCUGUAAACUAUGCAAACUCAGUGAUGCAUUGACUUGUGGUCAAUGCAGUGGUGCAGGGAAGCCGUUAAGUUUGCCGCCUGGGAAGUACGUACGCAAGUAUGAAACUUAAAGGAAUUGGCGGGGGAGCACCACAACGGGUGAAGCCUGCCGUUC
rnacentral:rRNA from 1 species